GACAAGAAAAUGAAUAGGAUUGAGAAAUAAAAUGCAAAGGAGAAAACCACGAGAGGGUAGCUUGAGGGGUGUUCUGUUUUGUUGCUGUGUUUUAACGAAAUGAAGAUGCUGCCACUGCCUGGGAAGCAGGGUCUCUGAGAUGCUCUCGGGGGUACCAACCUUCUUUCAAAUGCUUGGGCCCCUUGCAGCCAAGUCCUCCCAGAAUGCUGACCUUUUUCAACUCUUUUCACCCAAGAAGAGUUUUCUAAAAAGAGAACACUCUAGUAGGGACACUUUUCUAUGUGGGUCCAAGAUGUUUUGUCAAAACUUACUUUCUUUAAUGUAAUUUGCCUUUUGUUCCUAAAGGGCCACCUCAGAAAUAUGAAAAUACAUUUCUCCCUUCCCUGCCAUUCCGGAAUCCUGCCCUGUUGGAUGAAAACAAGUAACUUCCUGUUCAUCUGCCCAGAAUUUGACAUUAAUGUGUUGUUCAUACGCAUCUAUUGUUAUUUUCUUAUGAAAAAUGGAUUUUUAUUACAGCACAUUAGUUGUAAAGGAGCUUAAAGAUCAUGAAUUUAAUUCUAUCUCUCCCACAGCCCUGUGAGUCACACAGCAGCAGAGAAUCCAAUUUCCACUUUAAAGGUGAAUAAACUGAGGCUGAAAAGUUGCAAUGGCUCAAGAUCAUACAGCGAAUUCAUGAACAAAGCAAGGUCAAGUUCACCAGCGCGGAGUUUCCCAGUCGUUCUCAGCCCUGUGUCUGAAGAUCAAGGUGUGUCAUGGCAUACCCUUCCUGUAGGAGCCUGAGCACUUCACUCCCUUUAAGGGAGGGAUGAUAGAUUGUGGCAGAGGACUCAGCUCCCCAGAGUGGGAGUGGAGGAGCAGGACGGGGCAUGGAGCCCACUGGACUCCACUUCAGGGGCCCCGGGGGUCUCUUUACAGGCUCACUGAGUGAACUUGGCUGAGUCAUCAUCUCUUCAUGUCUGUUUCCCCAAUUACAAAGCAGGAAUUCAUUCAUUCAUUCAACCAACAAACAUUUGUCUAGUGCUGACUACACAGCAGGUGCUAGGCUAGUCAAGCUGCAAAAUGGCUACAGUCCUGGCCCCCAAUGGACUUUACAGUCUGGUGAAGGGAGGAAAGACUUAAACAACAUACGUAACCAUAUAAUUACAACUGUUGGAAAGCAGUGACAAGCAAGGUCAAGCUGCUGUGAGAGGGUGUUAGAAGGAAAUUUUGCCUAAUCCGAGAGUCAUAUAAGGCUUACCUGAGGACGUGACCUAAAGGAGUGGAGAUGUAAAGAGGAGAAAAGACUAGCCUUGGAAUGGGAACAGAGAGGAGGGAGGGAAAGUAUUCCAAGCAGAGGGAACAGCAUGAGCAAACCCUGUGAGGUCGGGAGAGGAACAUGGCUUGUCUAACCAUCAGAAAGAGGCCAGUGCGACCAGAGCUCAGUAGCUCAGGGAGAGACUGGCAUAAGAUGAGGCUGGAAAAGUGGGUGGGUAACAUGUUAUAUGGGAUAACAGCAUCCACCCAUCCUUGUGGUGAUGAUAAGAUGGUUUGACAAUCACACAGCUAUGAAAAGGCUCAGAAAGCAGCACGCACUGCACUGACAUUGGGUAUCACCAUCACUGUUCAAGUGGCCUCCUGGAUAAUGCCUUAGGCCUGUCCUCAAAGCAGGAAGCUCAGGAGUGAGUUACCAGUGACCUUCUCCCACUGCCUUCUUGCCAGAGUUCUAUCUAAUCACAGGGGUCAGGACACUGCUAAUUACCAAAUCCUUCCAAAGAACUCAGAACAUGUCUAAAAAUCCUUCUCUGGCUUCUCUCCUAGGUCUAUUUGGGAAGUCAUCAACUGACAACUUACGGGUCUCUGGGCCAACCUUAGCUAUCUAACAGAGAAGUAGCAUCAUGUCUGCUGGACACGCCCUCUGGCCUACAGGUAGGAAACGCUGGCCCAGGCCCAGAGCAAGCCUCCUUGCCCCCUGCAUCUUGGUUUCUUGAACUCUAAGUGAGAACACAAGCAAAAGUCAAGCAAGAUAAGGACAAUUCAAAUGCCCUGCAGCCUUUGGUGAAAAGAUAUAGGAUAAAUACGAGGUAUCCUUAUUACGACUGUUGUUGUUGUGGGCACAGCCAUCUUGCAGACUGUUGUUGUUGUGGGCACAGCCAUCUUGCAGACUCUCUGGGUCUUGAAGUCAUUUAAUCCUGGUAAGUUCCAAGUGCCUCAAAUUUAAAGGUCAUUGCCUCUGGCAUCUCAGCACAUUCUGAUUCCACUCUCAUUUUUUAUUAUGAAGGUAUUUAUUACCCGCAUAUGGACUUUGGGUUGGAAGGUAAAAGACUAGUGAAGGCAGCUGAGCUAGUCCCCAGAAGUGCCACCUGGCCUCAUCGUCCAGGAACAGAGUGACUUCUCCCUCCCUUUCCCCAUCAACUUCCCGGUGUCUCUAGAACCUCUAGCCUGUGCCCCAGGCCUCAGAGGUGACACCCGCCACCCCAGUGUGUUUACAUUUCCUGCAACAUGGGCCUGACACAAGAAGCCACUACAUAACUCGGGAGGAGCCAGGAGUUGCUAACAAAGGUCGUAGUCAGGGCUCAGGAAGCAGAGGGGGCAUCCUGUAUUAGGAGUGGAGGGCAGGGGUGUCCAACUAGAGAUGAAACCGAUCCCCCAGUAACACACUUACAUCCCCUUCCCAAGGUCAUUAUCUGGAAAAUAAACACAUUUUAAAAUAACUUUUCUCCCUGUUACUCUAAACAGUUUUUACAGUGAUGAUAACAAUGGUUUGUGGUUGUGUUUAAAAAAAGAAGAAGAAGAAGGAAUUCCUUUUUAAAGACUCCAAUAUCUCUGGCCUGGAACACUGUAAAUCCCCUAACUGACUCCCCUCCUGCCACUUUGGCCCUGCCUCUCCCCUCCAAGCAGCCGGAGGGAUGUUGACUGAACGCAGAUUCACUGCCCUGAUUAAAAUCCUCCAAACGGCUUCCUUUUUCAUUUCCCAUGAAAUCAAGAGCCUCUUCCAUGUCUUGAGAAGCCAGCAUGGUCUGUGCCGCUCACCACUCCAGCUCCAUCCUAGGCCCUUCUCUCCUGGCACCACGCUCCAGCCACACCGGCCUUCUGUCUGUUCUUUCAACACAAGGAGCUCGAACCUAUCUUGAGGCCUUCCAGCAGAAGCUUCCUUUGCCCGGACAGCCCUUCCCUGGGAUCCUCACUUUGCUGGCUCCUUCUCAUCCCACAAGACUGAGGUUAAAUUCCUCAUCUCCCUUAGGACACACCUAGACUUAUACUGAACCUUCAUACUCUGCCCUUUUCGUGGCACUUAUCCCCAAAUGCAAUUAUUCUGUUUGUUUCCUUGCUUUCCGUCUGUGGGUCACACUGGAAGAUAACGAUGAGCAGAGGGGGCAGGUCUCUCUUGGGUUCUUGGUUUCCUAGGACCCAGCACAGAGCCUGCUCAGAGGAGCACUCAACAAACUUCAGUGGAAUGAAUGAAUGAAAAAAUGAACAAACAAUCCAUUUACUACAUAUGCACUUUAUUUUAAUAAUCAAAGCCAAUAAACACAUGUAAACUCAUUGGCUUAUGGUCUCGGGCUGGGCUUCCAGCACAGUAGAUGGCAGCCCCAUGCUCUGUAUGUAGUAAACUCAGUUUACGUCGGGGAUGACGAUGGUGUCACAAUGUCACUUGAGCAUCAAGGUUUCUGAGAUAUGGGUCUGUCCUGUUCACUGAUUCAGACACAUUACACUAACUGAGCAAGCAAUACUCUAAUGGGAAAUACAGAUGUGACAGACAUUGACAUCAAAGAUCUGAAAGUCCAAAACUAGGGGUGGGGGUAAUACAUGAAUAGCAAUAAAAGUACUAGAUAUCCUAAAUGCCAGAGGCAAGAAGAGAUACCCCUGGAUGUGGGGGACUCAAGAAAGGCUUCCUGGGGAAGGUGGCACUGGGGCUGAGCCUAAAAGAUGGGUAGAAUUUGUACACAUGGAGAUGGAAGGAAAGAUACGCCAGAUCAAGGGCAUAGCGUGACCAAAGGCAUGGAGGGAAGAAGGCUGAAGAACAGAUUGGGUAAAGGAGUGAGGGAAAUAAGGCUGAAAAACAGGUUAGGAGCAGAAGGAAGAGGCCCAAGAAGGUCACAGUCAUCAUUUUGCAUUUAUUUAGUAGGAAACAAAAGUCUUUCAGCUGAGAUUUUUAGCAAGAGGGUGGCACAAGUAGACCUCUGUUUCAGGACGAAAGUCAGCUAGCAAAGUAGGAAAUGUGGAGAAGGAAGGCCUGGGGACGGGGCAUCUUGUAGGAAUCCGUUCGGUCGUGCAUCCAUUCAACAAAUAUUUAUUGUGCGCCUACUAAGUGCCAGGCUCUGUUUGGGUGCUUGAGUUAUAUUAGUGAGCAAGAUAGACAAAGACUCCUGUCCUUGAGGAGUUUACAUUCCAUUGGAAGAAAAUAGAAAAUAGACAAUAACAUAAUAAAUAGUACAUUAUGAAGUAUGUUAGAUGGUGGUAAGAGCUAUGGGGACAAGAAAAGGAAAGCAGAGUGAGAAUCAGGAGUAUCGGGGGUGAGGAGGGCACAGGAUGUGGUAUUACAUACAGUGGUCAGGGUAAACGUCAGAGAGAAGACAUAGGAGCAAAUCUUGAAGAAAGUGAGGAUGAGAGCCGAGCAGAUGUCAGGGAAGAGGACUUUGCAGGCAGAGGAAACAGCCAGAGCAAAGCCCUGAGUCAGGAGCGUGCCUGGUGUGUUCUAGGAGUAGCAAAGAGGUCGGUGUGCCUGGAGCCGAGAGAGCGAGGCAAAGAGGAAGCAGCCAAGUCAGAGAGAUGGACACAGUAUCAGAAUCAAGAGGGAGAAGAGAACCAAAAUGGGAACAAUGGAAUGGGCUCCCUACACACAAGGAGCUAGAGGGACUUCCAACAGCAUCUGGAGUGCAACCCCUCAAUGAGGACCGUGGAGCACCAAAAGGAAUUGCUGUGUGACUUUGAGCAAGUCUCCUAACCUGUCUGGACUUCAAGAAAACAAAGAAUGGGAGUUAAUGAUGUCUGAGAAAAUGUAAAAUGCCACCCGUGGCUUACAUUCCAUUUCUACUGGAUCCUGCCGCUCUGGGAGCCUUGGCUUUCCUACAACCUGCAUCUUGGGGAGUUUGGAACAACCCCAGUAAUGACCCAGGAGUGUCUGCAAGGGUCUGUAAAUUGUGCAAGGCCAUUUGGAGCUUGGAUGGAGCACACUGAAGAAUCUAGCCGCCUCCCACCCCUAACAAAUAAAACCUCUACAUAAGUGAAAUCGGGGUGAACGCAAAAUAUUGAAUCAGGCUUAACCAUGAACCCGGAGUGAAAGCAUCCUGAACAGCUGUAAGUAGAGACUUUGCAGAGAAAACGCAGCCAAAGGGGUCAGUGUGGAAAGGCAGGAAUGAGGCCGGGUCUGCACUCCUUUGACGACAGUGGGAGGGAGCAUGUCAGCUCUGCAUUAGCUCCAAUUGACAGCAAUGUUGCCACCACCCUGAGUCACAUCCCAGCCCCAGCGCCCCCCAAAAACAGAGGUUCCCUUAAAGCUAAGGACCCAGGGCCUUGCUGCAACCCAGACACAGGUCUGAAGGUGGCCAGCUACUCAGAAGUAUAGUAACACAUCAGUAGUCAAGAAAACCAAGCAAUUCUUUCUGCAUGGCCACAAAGCAAUUAGCAUCACCUAGCAGCAAAUUCUCACCCCAAAUUCUUCCAUUUCCAUAUCCAAGAUGGAUUCUAUCUUAAGUGACUGGCCCUUUUCGUGUAAGACGCUCCAGAAGUUCAUUCACAGUAAGGGGUGAGGGCACACGGUGCGCUCUCCUUAGAAACACACAACCUGGGACAAGCUUUCUUUACUUGAAGCCACAGGAAGGUAUCUCCCGACCCAAAAGAGCUGUGGCUCCUCCAGCUCUUUUGGGAAAGUAAUUCAUCCUGGGCCUGUUUCCAUCCUGCGCCUGCUUGCUUUGCUCCUCUGGGGUGGCAAGAGGGAGACAAAAAGACGGGGAAGACACGAGACACCCAGAGGGGAGAGAAUCUCAGGGGGAUGCAUGGACAUGUUGACACGUGAGAGCAGGCCCACCUCUGAGCACCACUGGGCUCGUUCACUCUCCUGGAAAACUCAGCCCUUCGGAAAAAGGAGCAAAGCAUGUUUGUCCCGGGCGAGCCCAGCACUCCCCACCUCUCCCAUCACGGGCCCAGCCAAGCUCCAGAGGGC